CUCCCCUUCACUUACUCUGAUUGAUGGAAACACGUGCUGGGAGCUUUCCCUGACAUUCUUUCCAAAGACUGAAAAUGUAGAAGACAGAAGUAGCUCAGGGUCCUGGGGGAAUGGAGGACAUCCAAGCCCGUCCAGGAACUAUGGAGAUGGGACUCCCUAUGACCACAUGACCAGCAGGGACCUUGGGUCACAUGACAAUCUCUCUCCACCUUUUGUCAAUUCCAGAAUACAAAGUAAAACAGAAAGGGGCUCAUACUCAUCUUAUGGGAGAGAAUCAAACUUACAGGGUUGCCACCAG
rnacentral:lncRNA from 1 species